UGGGAGGCAGCGACCCGGCGUGCGCGCGCACCGGCGCACGCACACCCAGAGUGGAGCCUGAGCCAAGGGCGGGUGACAGCGGGGACGUGGAUUCCUUAAGAGGUUCCUUGACUGGUUCUUUGGCUCUCAACCAUUUUCUUGAAGAAAUCAUGCUCCUCCUCUCAGAAUGUGAGGACUUGACUUUUUACAUCAGCGUACUGGAUUUUGUGUCCUUCUUCACUCACGUGGCUUAUCUCAUCCUGUUACAGAGGAUCGAACUCAGGACCUUGCGCUUACCAGGCAGGUACCGUGUCCCUGAGCAACAUCCCCGGCCCGACAAGUGAUUUCUUCACCCAUGUCACUCAAAAGUGUAUGGUUUUUACUGUUUUGUUUUUAAAUGUAUUUUCUUUAAUUUUAACCAUUAUCUAAUAAAGAACUGUAUCUGUGA